rfam:Schistosoma mattheei strain Denwood, Zambia genome assembly, scaffold: SMTD_scaffold0013215
UUCAGCUGACGAGUCCCAAAUAGGACGAAACGCGCCUCAGUAGAG